CUAUUACUGGGCGUAAAGCGCACGUAGGUGGUUAUGUCAGUCAGAUGUGAAAGCCCCGGGCUUAACCUGGGAAUUGCAUCUGAUACUGGCAGUCUAGAGUUUAGUAGGGGAGAGUGGAACUUCUGGUGGAGCGGUGAAAUGCGUAGAUAUCAGAAGGAACACCGGCGGCGAAGGCGACUCUCUGGUCUAAAACUGACGCUGAGGUGCGAAAGCGUGGGGAGCAAACGGGAUUAGAUAAU
rnacentral:rRNA from 1 species